CAUUCUCUUCUCUUGGACGCCUCCACUGAAGAAUGCACAGGUGGUUGAUGGAGGAGGCAUAAAUCCUGCUGCCAAGGGUAGGUCCUCGAAACCUGGCAACCCUUGGAGUCUGGCUGAGGAGGAUGCUUCGCCUAGCAACCCCCUGAGUCUGGCUGAGGAGGAUGCUGGUGCUCGAGGAACGCAGGCAGCGCUUUACCAUCCUGCGCUGACCUUGACGACGAACCAACGAGAACAACGACGCAACAGACGAAGCAACACGACAACUAAAGACACUGGAGAGCAUACAACAUGUUUUUAAGCACUGAACACACCAAGCUAAUCAUAACUUCAAUGUAACUUACACUUAACUACUUAUCACUGAGACUACUGAGAUGUGAGGUGAACUAAGUCGCUUAUUGUGUGUUAAUAUGUGGUCCCCAUUUUCCCAUUUUUGGGAUGGUGGGCUCCAGUUGUCUGCGUUGCUUGGUUCGGCAGGAUCGGGGCCUGCUGGUAAAACGCCAAGCCCCAAGAUGAUAAAAAUAAAUAUCCAAUAAAAAUCGAAAAAUCUUCAACAAUC